UAAAGUUGUUGCAGUUAAAAAGCUCGUAGUUGAAUUUCGGGGUCAGCAGGUUGGUCGUGCCACUGGUAUGCACUGGCUUCGCUGAUUCCUCCUUUCUGAAGAACUGUAAUGUCAUUAAUUUGGUGUUGCAGGGAAACAGGACUGUUACUUUGAAAAAAUUAGAGUGUUUAAAGCAGGCUAACGCUUGAAUACAUUAGCAUGGAAUAAUGAAAUAGNACGUUCGAUCCUAUUUUGUUGGUUUCUAGGAUUGACGUAAUGAUUAAUAGGG
rnacentral:rRNA from 1 species